GACUUUACGCUGAACUUUUUCCUUUAGGUCCUUUCAGUGCUCUUGACUUAUGCCUUAGCUAAUUUUCUGCCAUGAUUUCAAAAGACUUACGUAUUUGUACAUGUUUCCAGGAAGCCAUCUUAUUAAUCAAUAUGGAAAGUUAUUUAAAACCACAACCUCUGGUUCUUACAAAUAUGUGUUAGCUCUAUCAAAUUGAUACUUGGAAAGCUCAAUAACUAUUUAUAAUUGUGGGUGAUGUUGAUCAUGACCCAUCAAUAGGUCAGAGCCUUCAUUGUUAAUUACCUAGUUCACUAGGCUUUGUUACAGGC
rnacentral:lncRNA from 1 species